UCGCCUCUUGCAACAAUUAAGUAUAGAGGUCCGCCUGCCCAGUGACUAGUUCAACGGCCGCGGUAUCAUGACCGUGCAAAGGUAGCGUAAUCACUUGUCUUUUAAAUAAAGACCCGUAUGAAAGGCAAAACGAAAGUUCAACUGUCUCUUUAAUCCAAUCAAUGAAAUUUAUCUUUUCGUGCAGAGGCGGAGAUAAAUAUAUAAGACGAGAAGACCCUAUGGAGCUUUAAACACACUAUUAACUACUACAGUAAUUUCAACCAACAGGCAAAAAAUCAUAAACCACAUAGCCAUAAUAUAAGUUUUGGGUUGGGGCGACCACGGAGCAAAAAAAAUCCUCCGAGAUAAACAAUUUAGAAUAACACUUCGAAAAUUAAAACAUUUAUUAUAAAUGAUCCACUAAGUGACCAACGAACCAAGUUACCCUAGGGAUAACAGCGCAAUCCUUUCUAAGAGUCCAUAUCGACGAAUGGGUUUACGACCUCGAUGUUGGAUCAGGACACCCAAAUGGUGCAGCCGCUGUAAAGGUUCGUUUGUUCAACGAUUAAAGUCCUAC
rnacentral:rRNA from 1 species